rnacentral:rRNA from 1 species
GAUGAACGCUGGCGGCGUGCCUAAUACAUGCAAGUCGAGCGAACGGACGAGAAGCUUGCUUUUCUGAUGUUAGCGGCGGACGGGUGAGUAACACGUGGAUAACCUACCUAUAAGACUGGGAUUACUUCGGGAAACCGGAGCUAAUACCGGAUAAUAUUUUGAACCGCAUGGUUCAAAAGUGAAAGACGGUCUUGCUGUCACUUAUAGAUGGAUCCGCGCUGCAUUAGCUAGUUGGUAAGGUAACGGCUUACCAAGGCAACGAUGCAUAGCCGACCUGAGAGGGUGAUCGGCCACACUGGAACUGAGACACGGUCCAGACUCCUACGGGAGGCAGCAGUAGGGAAUCUUCCGCAAUGGGCGAAAGCCUGACGGAGCAACGCCGCGUGAGUGAUGAAGGUCUUCGGAUCGUAAAACUCUGUUAUUAGGGAAGAACAUAUGUGUAAGUAACUGUGCACAUCUUGACGGUACCUAAUCAGAAAGCCACGGCUAACUACGUG